rnacentral:rRNA from 1 species
CCUACGGGGGGCAGCAGUAAGGAAUAUUGGUCAAUGGAGGCAACUCUGAACCAGCCAUGCCGCGUGCAGGAUGAAGGCCCUAUGGGUCGUAAACUGCUUUUAUACCAGAGAAAACCCUUUCACGUGUGGAAGGUUGAUAGUAUGGUAAGAAUAAGCAUCGGCUAACUUCGUGCCAGCAGCCGCGGUAAGACGAAGGAUGCAAGCGUUAUCCGGAUUCAUUGGGUUUAAAGGGUGCGUAGGCGGACUGAUAAGUCAGUGGUGAAAUCUCUCAGCUUAACUGAGAAACUGCCAUUGAUACUGUCAGUCUAGAGUAUAGAUGACGUUGGCGGAAUAUGACAUGUAGUGGUGAAAUACUUAGAUAUGUCAUAGAACACCGAUUGCGAAGGCAGCUAACGAAACUAUAACUGACGCUGAGGCACGAAAGUGCGGGGAUCAAACAGGAUUAGAUACCCCGGUAGUC